rnacentral:rRNA from 1 species
GACGAACGCUGGCGGCGUGCUUAACACAUGCAAGUCGAACGGAAAGGCCCUGCCUUUGUGGGGUGCUCGAGUGGCGAACGGGUGAGUAACACGUGAGUAACCUGCCCUUGACUUUGGGAUAACGUCAGGAAACUGGGGCUAAUACCGGAUAGGAGAUCCUGCUGCAUGGUGGGGGUUGGAAAGUUUCGGCGGUGGGGGAUGGACUCGCGGCUUAUCAGCUUGUUGGUGGGGUAGUGGCUUACCAAGGCUUUGACGGGUAGCCGGCCUGAGAGGGGGACCGGCCACAUUGGGACUGAGAUACGGCCCAGACUCCUACGGGAGGCAGCAGUGGGGACUAUUGCACAAUGGGCGGAAGCCUGAUGCAGCAACGCCGCGUGCGGGAUGACGGCCUUCGGGUUGUAAACCGCUUUCGCCUGUGACGAAGCGUGAGUGACGGUAAUGGGUAAAGAAGCACCGGCUAACUACGUG